AGUCUGUGUCAGCAGUGCCAAAAAUGUCUUUUUUCUUUUAUUUGUGCCACACAGCAUCCCGCUGCAGGAUCACCUGGCCUCUGCAAACUCCUCUGGGACGCUUUGCAAUUUCAGCCUGGGAGACCUUGCGUGCUCCUCGGUAAGGAUUACCUGGAGUUUACUGGCAAAUGCCUUCGGCAGUGCUGGCAGGCAUCGCUUGGUGUUUUGACAUCCGACGGCAUAAGUGGUGCUUGGGCCCCGUUGUCAUGAAUCACAUUUUCCUUUUCUUCCUCAAGGUGGAAUCUCUAUCAGCGGACAGCUUGGUCACACUGCUGGAGUGCAAACUUCCCAACAGCAACAGUUACCCCAUAGAAACCUGGAAGGCGUUCUUUGCCAAAGUGGCCGGCGUUCUGGAUGAGGCCCUCGUCCGAUAUUCCGACAAGGCCCGGAACCUCACUCAGUCCUUGUCCACGGUUCUCGAUGUGAUAGGAGAGGUCAAACUCAACAAUUUCACUGAAGCACAGUUCAAAGACGAAGCCUUCAUCAGCCGGUGGUUCAACAUCAGACUGGGGCCAUUUUUACCAUCUGUGACCGCAAAGUUCCUGUCAUGCCUUACCACCAAGAGUUUCAGUUGUGAGACCUUCCAAGCUGUGUACGUGCAGAAACUCUAUUGACAAACAAUGCUUGAUGCAAUUUCACUUCUGCUCACGAGCAAGGCGAUCUUAUCCUUGUUCAUGUGUUUAUCCAUUCAGGGUGGCAGCUCUCAGCAACCGGUCAACAUCCAUGGAUGAGGAGCAAAGGCGAACCAUCUUCACUCGCUUCCUGUAUCCGUUCCUCUCAAGAGGAAACUCAUCAGGUUGGUGCUUGGGAAAAGACUCCCAGGCUUUGAGAAAAUGUUCAAACUUGACACUGUGAUGUCUCUCCUGAGUAAGAGCACACGCAUGACGAUCAUGUUUCUUUGCUGUAUUUAUUUCAGAUCCUGGCUGCAUCACUGGCACCCUAGGCAGCAAAGACUGGCUUCAGAAGAACUUUGGCGACUUUGCGGUUUACGCGCCACUGGAAGAUCUACAAAAACUCAAUGGCAAUUUCUCCAGCGUAAGUCCCCUCCAUCAUUUCCUGAUCAUUCACAUCAAAUCAUCUGUUAGCUUCCUGGCUAAGCACGUCCCUAACUGCUUUUCCAUCGCGUGCUGUAGUUUGAGUCUCUGGAACUGCUGACGCCAUCCCAGGCAGCACAGCUGACUCUGACUUCCGGAGCACUGAAUGACUCCACAAAAAUGGAGGCCAUCUUUGAUCGCCUAGAGGAGGGAGAUGCUCUUCAAAAUGUUGACCAGUUUCUGACAGCACUGAGCGUGGCUCCCGAGGUAAUUCACGCCAUCCACUCAAGACGACAAAGAUUCCCAGCGCACCGUGCUGGUGCCCUUCAUAGGGAAUAUGAACGCUCAUGUCUCUCCUGUCUCCACAGAUUCCAGAUAUUGCCCCUCCCGUGAGAGACUUUGCCAUGAACCGCACCUUCAACAUCAUCAGCGUUCAUUUCCUGCAGUUUGAGGUAUCGGCCUGGAUCGCCUGGUUCCACGUGAAACUAAUUCCUGUCCUCCCCAGUUUCACUACAGAGAUGCUCACUCAAACCACCGCACAGACAAACUGCACCAACUACCAAGUCAUGUAAGCACUGUG
rnacentral:lncRNA from 1 species